rnacentral:hammerhead_ribozyme from 1 species
AUCCAGCUAACGAGUCCGAAAUAGGACGAAACGCGCAUCCUGGAU